UACGGAGGAUGCAAGCGUUAUCCGGAUUUAUUGGGUUUAAAGGGUGCGCAGGUUGUUUGACAAGUCAGUGGUGAAAGUCUGCCGCUUAACGGAAGGAUUGCCAUUGAUACUGUUGGACUUGAGUAUGGAUAAGGUAUGCGGAAUGUGUAGUGUAGCGGUGAAAUGCAUAGAUAUUACACAGAACACCGAUUGCGAAGGCAGCAUACUGGGCCAUUACUGACGCUGAGGCACGAAAGCGUGGGGAUCAAACAGG
rnacentral:rRNA from 1 species